rnacentral:lncRNA from 1 species
CCGUCCCUUGACUUUAAUACGAUGGUUCGGAACUGACCACCCACAUCCCAUAUAACUAUCUCAACCCCACCAAAAACCUAGAGACCAAACCUCAUUUCCUCAUCACCCUCAUCUCUCCCAUUCCCUACUCAAAACCCUAGCCAACCCUACACCCUCCACCGGCGACCAAGCUCCAAUCCACCCCAAAUCUUUACCCCAUGACCCUCAAAGCCUCCUCUUCCUUAACUCAUUUUUAUAUUCCCCUAAAGAGCCCUAGAACUCAUCCCAUAGCAGAUCUCAGAAUAGGUUAACCCCAAAUCUUUUCUUUCGAUUUCUGUCAUUCGGAGGAUGAACACAGCGAAUUCUAUUUUUCUCUCUGACUUUAGUAGUCAUUAGCACGUAUUCACUGGCCGAAUUCUAAAAGCACAAGGUCGGUGAUGACCACUGUUGGUCAGAGAAACCCUUGACCAAGCGAUUGUUGCAUUUUCAGAAGGUAACCUCGAAAUCUUUGCUUUCUUUUUCGUUUUCGUUUUUGUUUAAACCCCUCUUGUGACAUUUUCCAAUUUCUGUUAAAAUCAUAAAAAACAAAAAUUGCAUGUUCUCGUUUAAGGUUUAUAAUCUGUCCGAUUUCGCACCUUUAACUUGCAAAUGGUUAUAUAAAUUUUAUUUUGUUGUUUUGUUUAAUAGUUUAUUUAUGAUUUUCUUUGUUAUUAGAUAUUUUUGUUGGUUUAUUUUUGUUUAUUGUUUAGACCUCAAUCUUAGUUAAAUGAGUUUAGUUUUUUAACCAGGGUUCAAGUUAGGAAUAAUUUAGAAUCAGUUGGUUAAAGAAGAUUUGAAAUGGCAAGGGUAAUUAUAGAGAAUAGGAAGGGUAAUUUAGUAUUUAAAAAUUAGGGAAUAUUUUCUGUUACAAAUAAGCGAGAGAAGAGGACUGUCUCUGAAGGACAGAGAAUAAAAACGGUUUGGGAAUCUGGGGUAUAAGGGAAUAAAAAUAAAUUUUAAAGGGUGUAAAUGAAUUAGAAAAAUCAGGUUUGGUUGCCCUAAAAAUCUUGUUAUAAAAGGUCUCAUUCUCACCCAUUUUGGUGAGAAAAAACUUAGACAUAAAAAAAGGUCAUACGUCUGCUAGCAAUUUAGGUUCCAAAUAUGAGCUUUAAUAGCUGCAAAAGCAAUUCAAAAACAGAAUGAAAACAAUCAAGAAAGAGAAAUUAAUAGCUGAUUCUAACCUCUUUGGAGUCUUGCAUCAUUUCUGGGUUCAAAAAGCUUGGUUUGAUUUGAAAGAAAUUGUUGGUUUUACUGUUGCUAUCACUCUGUUGUUUAGCUGAGAUUUGGAUUGUCCUCCUGAUUUCUGCUGCUGAUCUGUUUUGAGCUCACUCAUUAGCUGUUUUCCUUGGCCUUUAUUUGGCAAAAGUUCAGCUUCAUUUACAAGUUUAGGUACAUACCUCUCACUCGUAUUUUGUUCUGAUUUGUAUUAAAGUAUGGGCUGUUUUUCUUUGAAGUUAUUUGCUGCAGUGUUUAAACUUAUUGUUUGUUUGGUCUUAAACAUAAAUUGAAUGUUUAGAUUUAAUAUAGUAACUACAUGAACAUUGUUAUCGUUUUGCAUAUUAAAGACAAAUUGUUUUAGCAGUGAUUUGUGACUAAGAAUAUAUUGAAUCUCACAUGUUUUAGCUAAAAUUCAACUGGUGUAUCACAUCAGUAAUUAUAUGCUGCUUAAAUUCGAAAUUGAAUUGCUGAAAUAUGGGUUUUCCCUUUAUGUUCUAAUAAACAAUGCAGACUGAUUUGAGGUAUAAGAAUUAAACGAGUUUCUAUUUUGGAAAAAUGGCUUUCGUGGAAUUUUGAAGAUAUGUUUAAAAGACUGUUGUUUCUAAUUUAAAACGUGAAUGUUGUUAUAAUUAAUUAUAGAGACCAUUGAUGUACUCUACAAUUCUCAUGUGGAUGUAUUUGAACCCAAGGAGGAUUGUAUAUAUUAAGAGGCCUUUUGCAUAAUAUGAGGUUAUUGUGUUAGUUUUGUCAUUUAAGUUGUAUCCAAUUAUGAUUCCGAUAUAAUAUAGGAAAUUUUACCUCAUAUAGCAAAGAUUUACACCCUAUUUAUUAUAAAUAAAAACUCUUUCAAAAUAUUAUUUUCUAUAGAUACCUUUUAGUUUUUAUAGCAAAAUAUGUAUUUAUGGUCACUUCCUAAUGUUAAGCCAUUAAAUACACUGUCUAAUAUUUUUCUCUCUCAUUCUUUCAGUUUAUUCUCUCCCAAAAUCACACAUAGUAUCUUAUUUGUCUCUCCACGAUCUCUCUCUCAAUGAUAUCUCUCUCAUUCUUUCCUAUAUGAAACAGAAAACUGGUUUCCUCUGAUAGACGAUGAGUUUUUCCAUAAUUUUCAUGGUUAUCACUACUCUUCAGACAUAAAAACAGUGAGCAUUUCCAUGAUUUCCUGCAAGUUUUCUUAACAUUCUUUUCAAAAUUGUUAUUUCCCAAUUCUACAGGACGUGGAGGCGUGACACCAAAUUUUUUCCCUUCUGAUUCAUGAUUUCUUGCUUUUGUAAAGAACUAUGAAAUUGUGCAAGUCAUAAAUCAUCAAUACAGAUUUUUACCACUCACCACUAAAGUUUUUGGGUUUUUGGCCUGUUAAAGCUUUUUCUUUUUCUCUUCAACAGUUUUUUUAAAAAUAUUCACCAUUGUUAGGUUUUCUGCAGAAUACCCACUAAAGCACUCAAUUUCGAAGGUCCAUCUUUAGAUUUGCAAAUCACUCAAGAGGAACCUGUAUUUGCAGGUUCAUCAACAACCAUUGAAGCCGAAAGGAAAACAAAAAUACGCAAUGACCCUAAUUGUAGAUGUAUUUAUAUGUAUUCGAGUCCGCAGGAUUUUUAGUUUCUACAGUGGUUUUCUCUUCUUGUAUUUAGAUGUAUUUAUAUGUAUUCGAUAAGGCAUAUACUGAUUUUUAUUUUUUACAGUGAUUUUUGACUGUUGUAUUUAGAUGUAUUUAUAUGUAUUUGNN